rnacentral:lncRNA from 1 species
AUGAUGAGGUGCUACAUUUUCAAAGAGACAUCAUGUGUCUUUCUAACAACACUCACUUUCCUCUUAAAAUGGCCCCACAUGAAAUUUAAGGACACAAGUCGAAUUUUUUUUUUUUCUUUCGACAGGCCAUCAAAGGAGUGAUUUCAGGGCUAUCAAGUAGACAUAAUUCAGGGUCCAUUUUAUAAUCCCUUUAUACAUAGCCUGCGAAAAAUUUCACAGUGAAAACUGUCACAAGCUUCUACUCCUGGUGCCAAUGGCUAAUUUGCAACCUCUCUUUGACCUGCUGGGUUGUUAUCAGUUAAAAAAUAAACCCUUACUGGAGAUUUAGAUAUUUUGACAAAUAUAUAAAAAUUUGAGCCAUGAGCCCUGUAAAAAAUGGUCAUGGAGGAAAAUAACACAGAAAAGUUACCAGGAAAGAGCUCAAUGAACUUUCUCCUUGUUAAGAAAUGUUUAAAUCCUUUUGUUUGUAAAUGGCAGGUGGGUUGUACAAUUCCAAUGUAAUUUCAGAAAGCCAUCUUCUGAAUGUAAUAAACAUGUCGGCAAUAAUAGGAUUCAGAAAAUAGCAAAAUGCAUUCCAGACGCACUUUGAUUGUGCAUACAGAACAGAGAAUUUAGCUAUAAUUGGCUAUAACACAGUUAUGGACAGCAAAUGACACACUGUGGGUUUGGGUGAUGUAGCAACCCUGAUUAGCGCUGUUCGUUUUAGCCAAACACCAGAAAUAAAAUAAUGACUCUGUAGUGACACAGCACCUUUUCUUCCUCCCACCCUCCCUCCCUCUCGUUUUUUCCUUCCUCAUUUUUCCCCUUCUGUUUAACUGAAGUAUCAUAACUUAGACUAGAAAACUUAUGCUCUCAUUACUCAACAAAUCAAUUAUCAGCCAAGACUCCAUUCUUUCCAGAGACGAACAAUCGUAUGUGAAGGGGGAAGCAAAAGCCCAUGGAGAAUUGACUUUUGGAGAACUAGAUGUAAUUUGAAUCAAGAAUUAUAAUAGGAAAUAAACCAUUACAAUAAACAAGGAAACAUGUACACAAUUACUUUCACAGUGUAAUUUUAUUCACUCUAGUUGAGAAAAUAAAGAGAUAAUACUGACCGUAGCACCUGGGUAUUUAAUGCAAACUGUAAAAUCUAUUAUAUUAAACAAAGUCAAAAGCAAUGCGAAAGAUCUUGAAUCUAUUCAAGGCAUGCACCUCAUUACAGACUUAGCAAAUUAAAACACAAAUAGGAUUAGAAAAGAAUAAUGUAACAAUCUCCCACCACGGUCCCUAGAGCAUUAAGUCAUAAAUUGGGUUUGCAUUAAAUUGUGCCUGCAGUAUUGAAUUCAGUGAAAGAGCUGUGGGCUGGAGAUAAACCAUGCUGGGCUACUCACCAACUUUGGCAAAGCUAUGUGUUUUCUGAGACAUGUAGUAAAUUUGUUAGAAUAUAGCAGGCCCACGAAAAAAAAUGAGCACUUCAUAUCUUAAUUAAAAAAAUGUCCAUGUCACAUCAUAUCAAACCUCCUCUUUUAGAGAACACAAAUGGGCUUUUAGACUAUCCAGAGGAAUGUCCUUUUUUUUUUUUUCCAGUUGAAGAUUAGACCUUAACCACUCUGGCUGAUUUAUAGAAAAAUAUAUAUGACUUAUUUUUAAAGCAAGUGGAUGUACUUAAAUCAGUUUUUUCAAGUGAUUCAAAAUUGAAAAAUGUUGUCCACCACGUGUCCUUCCAUUCCAGGCUCUGUUCGGUUUAUGUCCUAACCCUUGAGUGAGGGAACCUAAAUCAGGCAAAAGGAAAUGGUUCUGAUUUUGGCGCCCCUGCAUUAAUUGCUUAUCUGCUGCCUCUUUGCAUAUGGCAGGCCAAAGGCAGAAAGCAGGCUGUGGGUCCUGCUUCCUUGGGGGCCCUAUCCCAGAAUAGAACUCAGUUUAUUUUCUCUGACUUCCUAAGGCUGUUAUGAGGAUUAAAGAAAAUCAGUGUAGAAUGCCUCGGUGCUCAAAAAACGUUGGUCUCCCUGCUCCCACUUCAUCACUGAGUGUAAGUCACAGAAGCAACCUCCACAAGGACACCCGAUUUCACUGGUUCCCCCAGUGGGAGUAGAGCCUUCUAGGUUCAAUGGAGCGCAGGAACGUCUCAGGUCGGUAGUGAGAUCUGUCCAGACCCUCCUGGUGGAGGAGGGCCACGUGCCUCUUCCUCACCAGGCACUUUCUUUUCCCUCCCUCGCCUCUGAUUCCCAUCGCCUCCCUCCCAGCCUUUGCAGCUGUCCUGGUCAUCAGGCGAAGUGUCCCUUCAUCACACUCAGCAGAAGACAGCCUGUUUAAACUGGCGCUGUCUAUUUUUAAGAGCUAUUUUGGAAGUCUAAGCGGCUCCCGUUUUGGCUUUAGUAAGACAAAUCUGGGCUAAAACACCCAGUGCCUCUUAAGUGUGAUGGAUACCCAGGACCCGCUGAAGUUUCCCGUAGCCACCGUCUGGUUCGUCCUAGUGGCAGUUUUUCUGCCAUGUUAUUUAUGUGGUGGUUUUACUUCUAAUUACGGCUCAUGAUGGCUGUUAGUGCUGAGCAGUAAGAGAGCAAACGGCAUUGUACUGCCAUUUAACUCCAGCCCAUAAAACGGGCGAUAAAGCUGAGGGCUUCACACCAAAACAGAAGCCCCCCCCCCCCCAAAAAAAAACCCGACCAUAACUUUCUGUGACAAGCUCACCUCCACCGCUGCCACUCUGAGGCUGGAAACUUUCACUGAUGAAGCACAUGGAGGCAGGUGACUCCCGAGGCCUCGGAGCCUCAAAUUUCAGCCCCGGCUUCAUUGUUAAGUCAUCCUUUAUUGUAGACAGAACAACCCCAGACCUCGGAUAUAAUUAACACAUGCCAGGUUUCAUCAGAACCAGGGUACUUGUUGUUUGGAAACUAAUGAAAGCAAAUAGAUGUUACUUAACACCGUCCAUAAUGAAAGGUCUUUUGUGGUUCUCAAUUUUGAUUACUGUUUUUUGAUGCUAAGAAGAAUGCCACUUGGUAUGUGCAUAAACAAAGAAGAUAAAUGGCCAGGAUGAGAAUGAGUUGUCCAUAAUCUGAUUAAAGCAAUAGAGCUGGCUCCUAGGAGAACCACACGGGGUUUAAUGAUUGGGUUGUUGUUCUUAAUACGUCUCAUGUUCACUCUUAAAGAAAUCAAGAAAAAUGUUAAGAGGUUACUGAUAUUUCACUCUGGCGUUGGGCUGUCAGAGCUUCUGACAGGGAAAGAACAUUCUCUUUGGCUGGAACAUAAAGUCCAGCCACGUAGGAAGCUCAUUUGCCCAAAUGAUAGCAGGAGGCAUUUAAAACCGAAAUCUGCCCCCAUUCACUCACUCCGCGGGCAGAGCCGUCACGGAUGAGGCAAGGACAGGCUUGGCUUUGCUGAAGGUGCGAUGUGAUAAAAUAGCUGAGAAACGCCACUCAUCUUCUGUUUCGUUAAUUCCUCUUCCUUCUUGACAGAAUGCUUCCGGAUUUCGGGAAGAUGUCUGCUAGCGUUUGGAUAGUAAAUACAUUCUUUAAAAGCUCGGGGAUACUCUAGGCUGCUGGGAUGUUAGGGAGAAGAGUCACACCAUUCUCAAGCUCUGCAGGAGCUGGCCAUGGUUGAAUGUAGUGAGUUGCUUCUUCAUUCCUUCCUGUUGGUGAGUUCCAAGGUCCUGUGUGUGUGUGCAUAGUCACACCGUUACUCAUAGGUGACUGGUCCUAGAAAUCUACGUCAGUCUAACAGCUUGAGCGACAGAGAGAGGGCUGACUCUGGCUACUGUGCAUCGCCUCCAGGAUACACAAUCAACAUAAGCUCUCAGGAAUCUAAUAAAUUUUAAGAUGACUCCAGUGACAUUCAGCCAUUAAGAUCUUUGUUGCCUUUGAAACUCUACACUGGGUCAUUGGAUUCUGGAUGGACAGGAAUUGGGUUAUUUUGCUUAUUUUAUUUUUUAUUUAUUUUUGGGGGGGCCAUGCCCACAGCACACAGAGGUUCCCUAGGCAAGGAUUGAACCCACACCAUAGCAGCGAUCUGAAUGCUGUAGUGACAAUACUGGAUCCUUAACCUACUUCACCACAAAGGCACCCCUGUUCUGCUUAUUUAAAACUGGUCAUCUAAGUGAUUUUGAGCGCUCAGAACUUCAGUUUCAGUUCCUCAGAUACAUAUUUGAACAUCCACUGUGUGUUAAUGUCCCAUUUUACAGAUGAGAAAGCUGAGGUUCAGAGAGAUUAAAUAACUUCCCCAAGACCCCUAGCUGAGUGGUUAGUCAGUAGCUUAGUCCCAACUGAAUAAAAUCCAUCUGAUUCUCAAGUUUACCUUUCUGCCAUCCUACUGGUCUCAAUCAACAGUUAAACCUCCAUGUUUCAAUGAAUAUGAAAUAUCCCUGUGUGGUCUCUUUUCUUUUCUUUUGCUUUUUAGGCCCGAAUAUGUGGCACACGGAGGUUCCCAGGCUAGGGGUCGAAUCGGAGCUGCAGCCACCAGCCUAACCCACAGACUCAGCAAGGCUAAAUCCAAGCUGCAUCUCUGACCUACACCACAGCUCACGGCAACACCAGAUCCUUAACCCACUGAGUGAGCCCAGGGAUUGAACCUACGUCCUCAUGGAUACUAGUCAGGUUCAUUACUGCUGAGCUGCAACAGGAAUUCCCGUGUGGUCUCUUUUCUUGAUAGAGCCUAUGAAUCUGACAAAAACAGGUGAUUGGCCCUCUCCCAGGCAAGGAGAAGCACAGAGGCUUGGCCUGCUUGCUCCCUGCACCUGGGCAGGUGGGGCAUGAUUUCCACGUACUUCUCAGCUCCUUGUUAGUGGCCUCCUCUUUCCCUCGCAGACCAGACUUCGGCUUCCGUCACUUCCCAAGCCCAACAGACUGGUUGGGUUCCCAGAGACAUGGGAAGGACAUUGGUUGGAAAUGAAUUGAGAGAGAGUUGUCUUUUCUGAGCCUUUCCCUUCUCCCACUGGCCCAUUUUGGAGCCAUGUGGUCGGUCACAUCUUGGCACCACCACUCGCGGGCAGGGAGAGGAAAUGAAAGGAGAUGACAAAACCACAGCUGUGUUAUUUAUUAGGCCUCGAUUUUUUUUUAAAUGAUGGAGAAAAAGGUGGAACUAAGCUGCUUUCUCUUAGAAAAUGCUGGCAGUAAUUUUAGUGGCAGGUUUUAAACAUCUGAAUGUAUUAGCUAUAAUGAGCUCUGCAGCAGGGUGGUGAGGAGAGAGCCCAAGGCUCAUUGGCAGGGUCGGGGUGACCUUGGGCAAGCCACUUCCCAUCUCUAGGCCUCAGUUCCCCCUUCUGUACGGAGCGCCCGUGCAGCCUGGUGAUCCCUGUGACUUCCUGGGAAUGCGGCCAGGGGUGGGGCAGACCACCUGCUCUGGAGUCAGCUGAUGGCUCUGAAUCUUGACUCUGUUGGAGUUCUCAUUGUGGCUCAGUGGAAACGAACCUGACUAGUGCCCACGAGGAAGCUGGUUUGAUCCCUGACCUCGCUCAGUGGGUUAACUAUCCGGGGUUGCCACGAGCUGUGGUGUAGGUCGCAGGCGGGGCUUGGAUCUGGUGUUGCUGUGGCUCUGGUGUAGGCUAGCAGCAAUAGCUCUGAUUCGACCCUUAGCAUGGGAACAUCCAUGAGCCACACCUGUGGCCCAAAAUAAAAUAGAGUCUUAGCUCUGUCAAUCAGUCCUUGCAGGAGCUGUGUGACCUGGGGUCAGUUACUCAGCUUCUCUGAAGCUCAGUUUCCACCUCUGUAAAAUGGGGAUAAGGGUCCAGCUCAGUGUUCAUUAAGAGGUUUGGACUGGUCAAUGCAUGAAUAGCUUCUGGAGAAGGCAUUUUCCCAGAACCGGAAGGAAGAACUGGUGAGGAGGAUGCUUAGAAGGCAAAUGAUCUUGGUGAGACGUGCACGCUGGGAGAGGCUGGGGGUGGGAGGAGUGGGGUUCUGGGCGACCCUUCCCAAGAGAGGAGAAAACCAAGUACCUGUUAGUAGCAGGACAGAAAACGGGGUGCCUCAGUGCCAACCUUCGUCAGGAACAUGGCCUUGAGGGAAAAAAAGAAAUCUCAGAACACUCUCGCUUCCUUGCCUCCUGCUUUUCAUUUCUUAACUCUUUAUUUUUAAUGAAGAUGGGAAGGUUUACAAUUUUGACAGUUCCAUUUAUUUCUAGCAUUUUCAUCUAAAACAAUACAAUGAGCAGCAAUUAUUCCACCCGGAUGUCGGCUGCAGCUGGAUAAAUGUCACUAGUAAUUAAACGUGCUCUGUGCACUCUGUGCUGUCUCUUCCGUUCGCUGUCUGUCUGUCUGUCUCCUUCUUUACCACCAACCACCAAACCAUCCCUUUGUCCUUCCUCCUUCUCACCCCCACCCUCCAUUCUCAUAGAGGGGCACAAGAAAGUACCGAAUAGGGACCCGGUUGACCUCAAGGGGCUGAACCGCGUGCAUGAAGUGCCCAGAAGAGCAAAUCCUCCCCCAGAGGGCAGGUGGAGGAUCCCAGGGAAGGAGAGCGGCUGCCUUCCAUUCCUGGGCUCGCCUUCCACUCCGUAUCUAAUCCCUCCAGGCCACAGGGGGGCGCCCCAGCUGCUCCUCUGUGCAGGGAAGCUGCUCCUCUGGCCUGUGCCUAUCAGUGUCCUCUGUCCUAAGCAGAGGGUCCUGCAUCUGAGCAAGGGGAAGGAGAUAACUCCCAAGCCCCAAUUUCCCCAGGAUUCCUCCUCAGGUGUCACUCACCCAGGUAGCUGGGGCUCUACGGACACCAAGAAAGCAAUAGGAGCUUUCUUUGCAAAAUCAUGGUCAAAUAUUUAUAUUUGUUUAGGAUUUGCUUCCAUAGGAUUUGUUGUUGUUGUUAAUUCUAAUCUAUUUCCAAAAUUAAUAUGAAUCUCUUUUAUAGGUAAACAC